rnacentral:ncRNA from 2 species
AACCGACACUAGGGGAGCCGCGAGGCUGAGACGAAUGUAACAUUCGGACCCUUUGAACCUGAUCUGGUUAAUACCAGCGUAGGGAAGUGCGCGUUAAGAGUC